GACGAACGCUGGCGGCGUGCUUAACACAUGCAAGUCGAACGGAAAGGCCCUGCUUUUGUGGGGUGCUCGAGUGGCGAACGGGUGAGUAACACGUGAGUAACCUGCCCUUGACUUUGGGAUAACUUCAGGAAACUGGGGCUAAUACCGGAUAGGAGCUCCUGCUGCAUGGUGGGGGUUGGAAAGUUUCGGCGGUUGGGGAUGGACUCGCGGCUUAUCAGCUUGUUGGUGGGGUAGUGGCUUACCAAGGCUUUGACGGGUAGCCGGCCUGAGAGGGUGACCGGCCACAAUGGGACUGAGAUACGGCCCAGAAUCCUACGGGAGGCAGCAGUGGGGAAUAUUGCGCAAUGGGCGGAAGCCUGAUGCAGCAACGCCGCGUGCGGGAUGCCGGCCUUCGGGUUGUAAACCGCUUUGGCCUGUGACGAAGAGUGAGUGACGGUAAUGGGUAAAGAAGCACCGGCUAACUACGUG
rnacentral:rRNA from 1 species